CAUCUAAGCGGGAAGCGAGCCUCAAGAUGAGUCAUCCCUGAUACUUUAAGUAUCCUAAAGGGUUGUUGGAGACUACGACGUAGAUAGGCAGGGUGUGUAAGCGCUGUGAGGCGUUGAGCUAACCUGUACUAAUUGCCCGUGAGGCUUAACCAUACAACACCCAAGGGGUUU
rnacentral:rRNA from 1 species